rnacentral:rRNA from 1 species
AGUGAACGCUGGCGGUAGGCCUAACACAUGCAAGUCGAACGGCAGCACAGUAAGAGCUUGCUCUUACGGGUGGCGAGUGGCGGACGGGUGAGGAAUACAUCGGAAUCUACUUUUUCGUGGGGGAUAACGUAGGGAAACUUACGCUAAUACCGCAUACGACCUACGGGUGAAAGCAGGGGAUCUUCGGACCUUGCGCGAUUGAAUGAGCCGAUGUCGGAUUAGCUAGUUGGCGGGGUAAAGGCCCACCAAGGCGACGAUCCGUAGCUGGUCUGAGAGGAUGAUCAGGCACACUGGAACUGAGACACGGUCCAGACUCCUACGGGAGUCAGCAGUGGGGAAUAUUGGACAAUGGGCUCAAGCCUGAGCCAGCCAUACCGCGUGGGUGAAGAAGGCCUUCGGGUUGUAAAGCCCUUUUGUUGGGAAAGAAAAGCAGCAGGUUAAUACCCCGCUGUUCUGACGGUACCCAAGGAAUAGGCACCGGCUAACUUCGUG